CCCUUAGAUGUCCUGGGCCGCACGCGCGCUACACUGAUGCAUGCAACGAGUCGUUUCAAGCCUGGGCCGAGAGGCCCGGGUAAUCUGUUGAACGUGCAUCGUGAUAGGGAUAGAUCAUUGCAAUUAUUGAUCUUGAACGAGGAAUUCCUAGUAAACGCGAGUCAUCAGCUCGUAUUGAUUACGUCCCUGCCCUUUGUACACACCGCCCGUCGCUCCUACCGAUUGAAUGCUCAGGUGAGCCAUUCGGACUUUCAUCAUGCUGGUUUCCAGUUUUGAUGAAGGAAAGUCUUGCGAACCUUAUCAUUUAGAGGAAGGAGAAGUCGUAACA
rnacentral:rRNA from 1 species